GCCUACGACCAUAUCACCCAGAAUGCGCCCGAUCUCGUCUGAUCUCGGAAGCUAAGCAUGGUCGAGCCUGGUUAGUACUUUGAUGGGAGGCUGCCUGGGAAUACCAGGUGUUGUAGGCU
rnacentral:rRNA from 1 species